CUACACUUAUGCUACCCAUCAGAAGAUCUGCAGAACCUGGUCCCAUCAGUGGAUCCAGAGAUUCCAACACAUUAUCAGUACCAGAGUAUCUGAUAAAGAAAAGAUUUCUAACUAGAAGCAAAACCAGAAAUUCCCACCCAAUAUAGGAACCAUAAAUCGGUCCAUAUUCAGGGUUAGAUAGGUAUUGUAUUUCAGACAUUUAUAAACUACAUUUCCCACGAUACUCAGCCAGAAUAAACUUUGUGAAAUAUAGUUGACAAACAUCUGCUGUUUACUGCUCUGAAAUAAACAUAAUAUUUCACUUUUUAAAGUAUUU